rnacentral:rRNA from 1 species
GAUGAACGCUGGCGGCGUGCCUAAUACAUGCAAGUCGAGCGAACGGACGAGAAGCUUGCUUCUCUGAUGUUAGCGGCGGACGGGUGAGUAACACGUGGAUAACCUACCUAUAAGACUGGGAUAACUUCGGGAAACCGGAGCUAAUACCGGAUGAUAUUUUGAACCGCAUGGUUCAAAAGUGAAAGACGGUCUUGCUGUCACUUAUAGAUGGAUCCGCGCUGCAUUAGCUAGUUGGUAAGGUAACGGCUUACCAAGGCAACGAUGCAUAGCCGACCUGAGAGGGUGAUCGGCCACACUGGAACUGAGACACGGUCCAGACUCCUACGGGAGGCAGCAGUAGGGAAUCUUCCGCAAUGGGCGAAAGCCUGACGGAGCAACGCCGCGUGAGUGAUGAAGGUCCUCGGAUCGUAAAACUCUGUUAUUAGGGAAGAACAUACGUGUAAGUAACUGUGCACAUCUUGACGGUACCUAAUCAGAAAGCCACGGCUAACUACGUG